rnacentral:rRNA from 1 species
GCUUGUCUCAAAGAUUAAGCCAUGCAUGUGUAAGUAUAAGCCCUUGUACGGCGAAACUGCGAAUGGCUCAUUAAAACAGUUAUCGUUUCUUUGAUGAUCAACUUACUACUUGGAUAACUGUAGUAAUUCUAGAGCUAAUACAUGCGGAACCCUCACGGGUAGCGUUUAUUAGAUACAAAACCAAUAUUUCGUAACAGAAAUUCUGGUGAUUCAUAAUAACCUAGCGAAUCGGCCUCGUGGCUGAUGCAUCUUUCAAGUUUCUGACCUAUCAGCUAUUGACGGUAGGGUAUUGGCCUACCGUGGCGAUGACGGGUGACGGGGGAUCAGGGUUCGAUUCCGGAGAGGGAGCCUGAGAAACGGCUACCACAUCUAAGGAAGGCAGCAGG